AUGAUCUUCCGGGAAACUGGUUUUGCUUAACCGCAAAUGAAAAGGGAACCGUGUGAAAAUCACGGACUGUCGCGCAACUGUAAGUAACCGGAGUCUUUAUAAAAAACCACUGUGCACAGUGCAUGGGAAGGAAUAAAGAUGUUACAAGUCAGGAGACCUGCCUGUUUCUUCAAACAAAA
rnacentral:ncRNA from 2 species